GCGGCCGUAACUAUAACGGUCCUAAGGUAGCGAAAUUCCUUGUCGGGUAAGUUCCGACCCGCACGAAAGGCGUAACGAUUUGGGCACUGUCUCAACGAGAGACUCGGUGAAAUCAUAGUACCUGUGAAGAUGCAGGUUACCCGCGACAGGACGGAAAGACCCCGUGGAGCUUUACUGUAGCCUGAUAUUGAAAUUCGGCACAGCUUGUACAGGAUAGGUAGGAGCCUUUGAAACGUGAGCGCUAGCUUACGUGGAGGCGCUGGUGGGAUACUACCCUAGCUGUGUUGGCUUUCUAACCCGCACCACUUAUCGUGGUGGGAGACAGUGUCAGGCGGGCAGUUUGACUGGGGCGGUCGCCUCCUAAAAGGUAACGGAGGCGCUCAAAGGUUCCCUCAGAAUGGUUGGAAAUCAUUCAUAGAGUGUAAAGGCAUAAGGGAGCUUGACUGCGAGACCUACAAGUCGAGCAGGGUCGAAAGACGGACUUAGUGAUCCGGUGGUUCCGCAUGGAAGGGCCAUCGCUCAACGGAUAAAAGCUACCCCGGGGAUAACAGGCUUAUCUCCCCC
rnacentral:rRNA from 1 species